GGAUGAACGCUGGCGGCGUGCUUAACACAUGCAAGUCGAACGAUGAUCCGGUGCUUGCACCGGGGAUUAGUGGCGAACGGGUGAGUAACACGUGAGCAACCUGCCCUUGACUCUGGGAUAAGCCCGGGAAACGGGGUCUAAUACCGGAUAUGACCUUCCAUCGCAUGGUGAGUUGUUGGAAAGCUUUUGCGGUUUUGGAUGGGCUCGCGGCCUAUCAGCUUGUUGGUGAGGUAAUGGCUCACCAAGGCGACGACGGGUAGCCGGCCUGAGAGGGUGACCGGCCACACUGGGACUGAGACACGGCCCAGACUCCUACGGGAGGCAGCAGUGGGGAAUAUUGCACAAUGGGCGCAAGCCUGAUGCAGCGACGCCGCGUGAGGGAUGACGGCCUUCGGGUUGUAAACCUCUUUCAGUAGGGAAGAAGCGAAAGUGACGGUACCUGCAGAAGAAGCGCCGGCUAACUACGU
rnacentral:rRNA from 1 species